rnacentral:rRNA from 1 species
AUGCUUGAAUGUGUUGUGCAAAAGCUCGACCACCUUUGCGCAACGUCCAACAUAUUUCUGGAGCUCAUGAAGCAGAGCAGCUUAGCAUCCACCAAGGAGGGAAUAGGUGGAGAGACUACUUCUCGUGUUCCGAUUGAUGUCAAGGUGUUUGGCCGCGAUGAAGUUCUGGAGAUGAUACUGAAAAUUGUUCUGGGUUCAUCUGGCUCUGAACCAGAAUCCAGUAGCGUAAGAGCAAAGCUUGGGGCAAGGUGCCGCAUUGGUGGUGUUGAUGUUAUACCAAUUGUUGGUAUGAGCGGAGUUGGGAAGACAACCCUUGCUCAAGUCAUUUACAAUCAUGGAAGUGUGAAGGGCCACUUUAGACAGAGAGCAUGGGUGUAUGUUUCAAGACACUUUAGUGUGAAGAGAACCCUGCAAGAGAUGUUGCGCUCUUUGAAAGGAAAUGAUUCAUCUUUUGACUACGCUGAUAGUCUGGAAACAGUUGUUAACAAUGUUCAAAAUGUCAUCCAGCAGGAAGGAAGAUUCCUUCUUGUGCUAGAUAGUGUUUGGGAUGAGAUGUGUGAGCAGUGGAAUAGUUUGCUUACUGCCAUAACUCGUGAAGUGCCAGGAAUUGUAGUUCUUGUCACAACACAAAGCAAAAAGGUUGCAGACAAAGUAGCAACAAUGUGUCAAGUUCCAUUAGCACCUUUGCCAUGGGAGAGUUUUUGGUCAGCUUUCCAGUAUUAUGCAUUUGGCACCAGCAAUGUUGUGGUGGAGAACAAUCAGAUUCUUCUGUUAAUUGGUGAGCAAAUAGCAAAAAAACUAGAUGGCUUGCCGUUAGCAGCAAAAGUAAUGGGAAAUCUGUUAAGAUCCAGAUUUACCGUACACCAGUGGAGAAGCAUCCUUGAGAGCGAUUGGUGGGACCUGAGUGAAGUUCUUUGUGAAAUCCUUCCAUACAUGGGGAUUAGUUAUCAGGAUCUACAGCCUAGACAAAGGCAGUGCUUCGCUUUCUGUUCGAUUUUUCCAGGAAAUUACUUGUUUGAUAAAGAUAGAUUGGUCAAUAUGUGGAUUUCUCACGAUUUCAUUGAACAAAGCGCAUCUGGUGGCACUAGAUUAGAGGAUAUUGGAGGUAAAUUGUUUGAUGAACUUGUGCAAAGAUCAUUCCAGGCUACAUUUGACAAAAAGAGGUACAUUAUGCACGAUCUAGUACGGGCUCUGGCAAUUGGUGUUUCUUCAUAUGAAUGCUUUCUCCACAGAGAGACCUCACAGAGAGCAUCACCAACUGUUCGCCACUUGGCUCUGCACGUUGGUAAUCAACUUCACCUUCAUGAACUCAACAAGUAUAAAAAUCUGCGGACAAUCUUACUGUUUGGUCAUUGUGACAGUAAUGCAAUUUGUGAUAUUCUGGACAAUAUGUUGGCUAACUCAAGUAGCAUACGAGUGUUGGACUUGUCUCAUUUGGAGGUGCUGACAAAUAUGCUGCCCAACAUUUCUUCCUUGAGAAAAUUGAGAUUCUUUGAUCUUUCUUUCACAAAAAUCAGCAAUUUGCGCAACUUCCCUUGCAAUCUUCAAGUUCUAUACCUCCGCGGAUAUGCCCGGAAUACUAUUCCUCAAAGCAUCAAUAGUCUUGCCAACUUACGUCACCUGUAUGUUGAUGCUACAGCUCUCUCUUUAAUUCCUAGUAUUGGACAACUAAGUAAACUUCAAGAAUUGGAGAAUUUCAGCGCUGGAAAGAGAAAUGGAUUCAUGAUAAGUGAGAUAAAGAACAUGCAAGAGUUAUCUGGAAAACUUUGCAUUAGCAAUAUCCACAUCAUUAGGAGCACACAUGAGGCAAUGGAUGCCAAUAUGAUUGAGAAGAAGCACCUUGAGGCCUUGGAGUUGAAGGGGAGAAAUGUAUCCAAAGAUGUACUUGAAGGAUUGCAGCCGCACCCAAAUCUGAAAGAGCUCAUGAUUGAAGGUUACGGGGCCUCAACUUCACCAAGCUGGAUGUUGCAAGGUCACAUCUUUACAAAAAUUUAG